rnacentral:rRNA from 1 species
UCAUCCUACGGGGCGCAGCAGUGGGGAAUAUUGGGCAAUGGGCGCAAGCCUGACCCAGCAACGCCGCGUGAAGGAAGAAGGCUUUCGGGUUGUAAACUUCUUUUCUCAGGGACGAAGAAAGUGACGGUACCUGAGGAAUAAGCCACGGCUAACUACGUGCCAGCAGCCGCGGUAAUACGUAGGUGGCAAGCGUUAUCCGGAUUUACUGGGUGUAAAGUGCGGGUAGGCGGGAAAGCAAGUCAGAUGUGAAAACCACGGGCUCAACCUGUGGCCUGCAUUUGAAACU